GCUUACGGCCACACCGCCUGGUUAACGCUUUGAUCUCGGAAGAUAAGAUAGGUUGGGCCUGGUUAGUACUUGGAUGGGAGACCGCCUGGGAAUACCAGGUGCUGUAAGCU
rnacentral:rRNA from 1 species